AAUGUCAAAACGACUCUCGGCAACGGAUAUCUCGGCUCUCGCAUCGAUGAAGAACGUAGCGAAAUGCGAUACUUGGUGUGAAUUGCAGAAUCCCGUGAACCAUCGAGUCUUUGAACGCAAGUUGCGCCCGAAGCCUUCCGGCCGAGGGCACGCCUGCCUGGGCGUCACGCAUCGCGUCG
rnacentral:rRNA from 1 species